GGUCUCGGACAGUGUCUGGUGGGUAGUUUGACUGGGGCGGUCUCCUCCCAAAGCGUAACGGAGGAGCACGAAGGUUUGCUAAUCACGGUCGGACAUCGUGAGGUUAGUGCAAUGGUAUAAGCAAGCUUAACUGCGAGACAGACAAGUCGAGCAGGUGCGAAAGCAGGUCAUAGUGAUCCGGUGGUUCUGAAUGGAAGGGCCAUCGCUCAACGGAUAAAAGGUACUCCGGGGAUAACAGGCUGAUACCGCCCAAGAGUUCAUAUCGACGGCGGUGUUUGGCACCUCGAUGUCGGCUCAUCACAUCCUGGGGCUGAAGUAGGUCCCAAGGGUAUGGCUGUUCGCCAUUUAAAGUGGUACGCGAGCUGGGUUUAGAACGUCGUGAGACAGUUCGGUCCCUAUCUGCCGUGGGCGUUGGAGAAUUGAGAGGGGCUGCUCCUAGUACGAGAGGACCGGAGUGGACGCAUCACUGGUGUACCAGUUGUCUCGCCAGAGGCAUUGCUGGGUAGCUAAAUGCGGAAGAGAUAAGUGCUGAAAGCAUCUAAGCACGAAACUCGCCUUAAGAUGAGUUCUCCC
rnacentral:rRNA from 1 species